UAACGCGUGAGGAACCUGCCUCAAAGAGGGGGACAACAGUUGGAAACGACUGCUAAUACCGCAUAAGCCCACAGCUCGGCAUCGAGCAGAGGGAAAAGGAGCAAUCCGCUUUGAGAUGGCCUCGCGUCCGAUUAGCUAGUUGGUGAGGUAACGGCCCACCAAGGCGACGAUCGGUAGCCGGACUGAGAGGUUGAACGGCCACAUUGGGACUGAGACACGGCCCAGACUCCUACGGGAGGCAGCAGUGGGGAAUAUUGCACAAUGGGGGAAACCCUGAUGCAGCGACGCCGCGUGGAGGAAGAAGGUCUUCGGAUUGUAAACUCCUGUUGUUGAGGAAGAUAAUGACGGUACUCAACAAGGAAGUGACGGCUAACUACGUGCCAGCAGCCGCGGUAAAACGUAGGUCACAAGCGUUGUCCGGAAUUACUGGGUGUAAAGGGAGCGCAGGCGGGAAGACAAGUUGGAAGUGAAAUCCAUGGGCUCAACCCAUGAACUGCUUUCAAAACUGUUUUUCUUGAGUAGUGCAGAGGUAGGCGGAAUUCCCGGUGUAGCGGUGGAAUGCGUAGAUAUCGGGAGGAACACCAGUGGCGAAGGCGGCCUACUGGGCACCAACUGACGCUGAGGCUCGAAAGUGUGGGUAGCAAACAGGAUUAGAUACCCUGGUAGUCCACACUGUAAACGAUGAUUACUAGGUGU
rnacentral:rRNA from 1 species